GCAAGUCGAGCGGAUGACAGGAGCUUGCUCCUGAAUUCGGCGGCGGACGGGUGAGUAAUGCCUANGAAUCUGCCUGGUAGUGGGGGACAACGUUUCGAAAGGAACGCUAAUACCGCAUACGUCCUACGGGAGAAAGCAGGGGACCUUCGGGCCUUGCGCUAUCAGAUGAGCCUAGGUCGGAUUAGCUAGUUGGUGAGGUAAUGGCUCACCAAGGCGACGAUCCGUAACUGGUCUGAGAGGAUGAUCAGUCACACUGGAACUGAGACACGGUCCAGACUCCUACGGGAGGCAGCAGUGGGGAAUAUUGGACAAUGGGCGAAAGCCUGAUCCAGCCAUGCCGCGUGUGUGAAGAAGGUCUUCGGAUUGUAAAGCACUUUAAGUUGGGAGGAAGGGCAUUAACCUAAUACGUUAGUGUUUUGACGUUACCGACAGAAUAAGCACCGGCUAACUCUGUGCCAGCAGCCGCGGUAAUACAGAGGGUGCGAGCGUUAAUCGGAAUUACUGGGCGUAAAGCGCGCGUAGGCGGCUUGUUAAGUCAAAUGUGAAAUCCCCGAGCUUAACUUGGGCAUUGCAUUCGAUACUGGCAAGCUAGAGUAUGGGAGAGGAAGGUAGAAUUCCAGGUGUAGCGGUGAAAUGCGUAGAGAUCUGGAGGAAUACCGAUGGCGAAGGCAGCCUUCUGGCCUAAUACUGACGCUGAGGUGCGAAAGCAUGGGGAGCAAACAGGAUUAGAUAC
rnacentral:rRNA from 1 species